rnacentral:misc_RNA from 1 species
GGAACAAAAUUUAAUUUUGGUGAAAAGGGUUAUUUAUCAUUUGACCAUAUUACGUGGGCACCAUACCAGAAAAAGCUGAUGGAUAUAAGUUUGUUGACACCCGAAGAAAUCAACUGGGUCGAUUCGUACCAUUCCUCAUGUAGAGACAUUCUUGCACCGUAUCUGAAUGAGCAAGAUACUGAAUGGCUGAAAAAGGCUACAGAACCAAUCAGCUUGAAAGCCUAAGGGGGCUCAACUCAA